rnacentral:SRP_RNA from 1 species
GCCAGCGAUGGCGCCUUUGACUUCGCCGACUUUGAAUGCGGAGGCAUGCGCAGAACGUUUGUGAGGCUGGCAUCCAGCAACACAGUGCAGUGGACAGCUCCUGCGCUCCCGCCU